UAUAAUUAUUUAUUUUUUUCAUUAUAGGAACGUUAUAUGCCAUUGCAAACACUUUUUCUAGUCUAUUGGGGUUCCUCGCUCCCAUGUAUGUUGGAUAUCUUACUGAUGAAAAUCAAAGCAUGAAAGAAUGGCGAAUAGUAUUUGGAUCGGUAAUUGUACUCUUAUUGUUUUCAGCUUUUGUAUUUGGUGUGUUUGGGUCAACUAAAAGGCAAAACUGGAUCCCAAACAGCAAUAAAAAAACUGCUACGAAUAAUAAAAAUUUUGCUUAAUUUCAAA